rnacentral:rRNA from 1 species
UCUGGAAACGGAGAGUAAUACCUUAUACGCCCUUCGGGGGAAAGAUUUAUCGGUGACGGAUUAGCCCGCGUUAGAUUAGAUAGUUGGUGGGGUAAUGGCCUACCAAGUCUACGAUCUAUAGCUGGUUUUAGAGGAUGAUCAGCAACACUGGGACUGAGACACGGCCCAGACUCCUACGGGAGGCAGCAGUGGGGAAUCUUGGACAAUGGGCGCAAGCCUGAUCCAGCCAUGCCGCGUGAGUGAUGAAGGCCUUAGGGUCGUAAAGCUCUUUCGCCAGAGAUGAUAAUGACAGUAUCUGGUAAAGAAACCCCGGCUAACUCCGUGCCAGCAGCCGCGGUAAUACGGAGGGGGUUAGCGUUGUUCGGAAUUACUGGGCGUAAAGCGCGCGUAGGCGGGCUAGUAAGUUAGAGGUGAAAUCCCAGGGCUCAACCCUGGAACUGCCUUUAAUACUGCUAGUCUUGAGUUCGAGAGAGGUGAGUGGAAUUCCGAGUGUAGAGGUGAAAUUCGUAGAUAUUCGGAGGAACACCAGUGGCGAAGGCGGCUCACUGGCUCGAUACUGACGCUGAGGUGCGAAAGUGUGGGGAGCAAACAGGAUUAGAUACCCUGGUAGUCCACACCGUAAACGAUGAAUGCCAGUCGUCGGGUAGCAUGCUAUUCGGUGACACACCUAACGGAUUAAGCAUUCCGCCUGGGGAGU